CCCAACAGCUCUAUGCUUCCGGAACAUAGAAGUCGAGUGUGUGGAGUGUGUAAGAAACGGAACUUUUGGAUUUUACAAGUCAGUUUGGUUACCGAUAGCUCGACCUGACUAUUUUUGUCAACUGACAGCCGAGAAGAAACAGUUUGGAAUUAUCGUUGAACAGGCGUGCACUGUUGCUGAAUGCAAAAGGAUUCACCUAAGACCUCUGACCAAAUUCAUUGAGUUUUGGAGCAAAUGUAAUGCAAGUGUCGCAAAUAAUUCUACUGUUGCGAAUGAAACUGAGAAUUCUACUGAGCUCAACUUUGACCACCCAGCACUCGUAAAUGAACAUGAUACAAGUGUACAAACCCAGCCAGAAAAUUCAGGGCAUGAUAUUAUUUCAUGGAUUGCUGCUGGAGCAGCUGCAGCGCUUUUUAUCAUUCUUCAAGUCGCUCUUGUUUGGACACAACUUGUCGCAAAACUUUGGGAAUUCUCGGAAUUCUAUCCAAAGCUUCUCUUGAGGACAUCAACAACAACAACCUGGCCGAAGGAAGAUACCACCUCGAGAAAUUGUAAAUAUGUAAAUACUAUGUAUAUAAAUACCGUAUUGUAAAUAGAUAAGUGUAAUCCGUGAAACCCACACCUACCCACCACACUCCACACCACAGAACCAGCAACACCACCAAAAGAUAAAUUAAUAUGUAAGGCAUAAAUAUCUUUGUAAAUAGGCAUAUCUAACAUUUAUUAAUAAAUCUAUGUACUGUGAAAUAA